GCCUGGCUGGCUCAGUUGAUAGAGUGUGUGACUCUUGAUCUCAGGGUCUUGGGUUUGAGCCCCACAUUGGGUA
rfam:Canis lupus familiaris chromosome 8, whole genome shotgun sequence.